UAGUCCACGCCGUAAACGAUGGUUACUAGCUGUUUGGUUUUCGGACUGAGUGGCUAAGCGAAAGUGAUAAGUAACCCACCUGGGGAGUACGUUCGCAAGAAUGAAACUCAAAGGAAUUGACGGGGGCCCGCACAAGCGGUGGAGCAUGUGGUUUAAUUCGAUGAUACGCGAGGAACCUUACCAGGGCUUAAAUGUAGAUUGACAGGUUUAGAGAUAGACUUUUCUUCGGACAAUUUACAAGGUGCUGCAUGGUUGUCGUCAGCUCGUGCCGUGAGGUGUCAGGUUAAGUCCUAUAACGAGCGCAACCCCUGUUGUUAGUUACCAGUGAGUAAUGUCGGGAACUCUAGCAAGACUGCCGGUGCAAACCGUGAGAAGUGGGGAUGACGUCAAAUCAAUCACGGCCCUUACGUCCUGGGCUACACACGUAGCUACAAUGGUAGGUACAGAGAGCAGCCACUGCGUGAGCAGGAGCGAAUCUAUAAAACCUAUACUCAGUUCGGAUCGGAGUCUGCAACUCG
rnacentral:rRNA from 1 species